ACUAUAUAAAGUCAUCAAAACAUUUUAAAUUUGUACAUUGAAAGGUAAAAAACAAAUGGCUGAAACUCUCAAGUUUGUUUAUAUUAUGAUACUUUUUAUUUCUCUUUUCAUCGUUGUAGUCGUUGGUAUAAUAAAGUGCGAAACUGACGAAGAUUGCUAUCGACACUUUCCAAUUGCUGAUCCAAAAACAGUGGUGUGCUUUAGAAAUGAAUG